AACGCUAGCUACAGGCUUAACACAUGCAAGUCGAGGGGCAGCGCAGUGUAGCAAUACAUGGGCGGCGACCGGCGCACGGGUGCGUAACGCGUAUCCAACCUUCCCGUUACUCAGGGAUAGCCUUCCGAAAGGGAGAUUAAUACCUGAUGGUGUUCAAAUUCCGCAUGUUAUUUGAACUAAAGAUUUAUCGGUAACGGAUGGGGAUGCGUGACAUUAGGUAGAUGGCGGGGUAACGGCCCACCAUGCCUACGAUGUCUAGGGGUUCUGAGAGGAAGGUCCCCCACACUGGAACUGAGACACGGUCCAGACUCCUACGGGAGGCAGCAGUGAGGAAUAUUGGUCAAUGGCCGGAAGGCUGAACCAGCCAAGUAGCGUGAAGGAUGACGGCCCUAUGGGUUGUAAACUGCUUUUAUACAGGAAUAAAGUUAGCCACGUGUGGUUAUUUGUAGGUACUGUAUGAAUAAGGACCGGCUAAUUCCGUGCCAGCAGCCGCGGUAAUACGGAAGGUCCAGGCGUUAUCCGGAUUUAUUGGGUUUAAAGGGAGCGUAGGCCGUCUGUUAAGCGUGUUGUGAAAUGUAGAUGCUCAACAUCUGAAUUGCAGCGCGAACUGGCAGACUUGAGUGUGCGCAACGUAGGCGGAAUUCGUGGUGUAGCGGUGAAAUGCUUAGAUAUCACGAAGAACUCCGAUUG
rnacentral:rRNA from 1 species